ACGGAAGGCAGCAGUGGGGAAUAUUGGGCAAUGGGCGAAAGCCUGACCCAGCAACGCCGCGUGAAGGAAGAAGGUCUUCGGAUUGUAAACUUCUUUUAUGAGGGACGAAGGACGUGACGGUACCUCAUGAAUAAGCUACGGCUAACUACGUGCCAGCAGCCGCGGUAAUACGUAGGUAGCGAGCGUUAUCCGGAUUUACUGGGUGUAAAGGGCGCGUAGGCGGGGAAGCAAGUCAGGUGUGAAAUCUAUGGGCUUAACCCAUAAACUGCACUUGAAACUGUUUUUCUUGAGUGCUGGAGAGGUAGACGGAAUUCCUAGUGUAGCGGUGAAAUGCGUAGAUAUUAGGAAGAACACCAGUGGCGAAGGCGGUCCACUGGACAGUAACUGACGCUGAGGCGCGAAAGCGUGGGGAGCAAACAGGAUUAGAUACCCUGGUA
rnacentral:rRNA from 1 species